rnacentral:rRNA from 1 species
AUUGAACGCUGGCGGCAGGCCUAACACAUGCAAGUCGAGCGAGCGGCGGACGGGUGAGUAAUGUAUGGGGACUGCCCGAUAGAGGGGGAUAACUACUGGAAACGGUGGCUAAUACCGCAUACUAUCGGAUAACCCAUAUGGGAUUAGCUGGUAGGUGGGGUAAGGGCUCACCUGGGCGACGAUCCCUAGCUGGUCUGAGAGGAUGAUCACCCACACUGAGACUGAGACACGCCCUAGACUCCUACGGAGGCAGCAGUGGGGAAUAUUGCACAAUGGGCGCAAGCCUGAUGCAGCCAUGCCGCGUGUAUGAAGAAGACCUUAGGGUUGUAAUGUACUUUCAGCCGGGAGGCGUUACCUGCAGAAAAAGCACCGGCUAACUCCGUGCCAGCAGCCGCGGUAAUAC